AGGCCUGCACUUCGCAGAGUGGGGGCCCGAGACCCAAAGACCUGCAAUUCCCAAAGCAAAUUAGUGGCAGACUCAAAGCCACAGCCCAGGUCUCCUGACUUCCAGAAUACCACUUGUGAUUGUUCUAAGUUCUUCCAUUACUGAGUCUGUUUCUGAGAAUUCUGACUGAUUUGCUUCCGCCACUCAGCCUGGAGCUCUGCAGCUGUCUUCACGCACUGCCUGCUUGCCUCUUAGGCACAGUGGCUCACACCUAUAAUCCCAGAACUUUGG
rnacentral:lncRNA from 1 species